GUUAAGGUGGCAGAUUUAUGUGUUAGAUUUAGGAUCUAAUUAAAAACUUUAAGUUUUCUUAACA
rnacentral:tRNA from 1 species